rnacentral:rRNA from 1 species
UACGUAGGGAGCAAGCGUUGUCCGGAUUUACUGGGUGUAAAGGGUGCGUAGGCGGCUCUUCAAGUCAGGCGUGAAAUAUAUGGGCUUAACCCAUAGACUGCGUUUGAAACUGUGGAGCUUGAGUGAAGUAGAGGUAGGCGGAAUUCCCGGUGUAGCGGUGAAAUGCGUAGAGAUCGGGAGGAACACCAGUGGCGAAGGCGGCCUACUGGGCUUUAACUGACGCUGAGGCACGAAAGCAUGGGUAGCAAACAGG